UACGAAGGGGGCUAGCGUUGCUCGGAAUCACUGGGCGUAAAGCGCACGUAGGCGGCUUUCUAAGUCAGGGGUGAAAUCCUGGAGCUCAACUCCAGAACUGCCUUUGAUACUGGAGAGCUUGAGCCCGGGAGAGUGAGUGGAACUCCGAGUGUAGAGGUGAAAUUCGUAGAUAUUGGGAAGAACACCGGUGGCGAAGGCGGCGACCUGGUCCUUUACUGAGCUGAGGCGCGAAAGCGUGGGGAGCAAACAGG
rnacentral:rRNA from 1 species